rnacentral:rRNA from 1 species
CAAUAGCGUAUAUUUAAGUUGCUGCAGUUAAAAAGCUCGUAGUUGGAUUUCUGUUGGGAACGACCGGUCCGCCCAUUGGGUGUGUAUCUGGCUUGUUCUCGGCAUCUUCUUGGUGAACGUUGCUGCACUUGACUGUGUGGAGCGCUACCCAGGACUUUUACUUUGAGGAAAUUAGAGUGUUUCAAGCAGGCAUAUGCCUUGAAUACAUUAGCAUGGAAUAAUAAGAUAGGACCUCGGUUCUAUUUUGUUGGUUUCUAGAGCUGAGGUAAUGAUUAAUAGGGAUAGUUGGGGGCAUUCGUAUUUAACUGUCGGAGGUGAAAUUCUUGGAUUUGUUAAAGACGGACUACUGCGAAAGCAUUUGCCAAGGAUGUUUUCAUUGA